AUGAAGCUCCUAUGCUGGAAUAUUAGGGGAUUCGGCAACCUAAGCCGCCGACGCCAGCUGAUUGACUACAUCCGACAGGAAGACAUCGAUAUUGUUGGCCUUCAAGAGACGGUUCGUCAGGACUUCUCCAUCCAGGAGCUUCAGGGGCUCUCUCGACACCCUUUUGCCUGGAAAUGGCUCCCGGCUUCUAGGUAGUCUGGAGGCAUUCUCUUGGGGGUCAGGGAGGACUUCUUCUCGGUGGAGGAUAUGGACCGCGGGGAGUUCUUCCUGAGUAUGGCCAUCACCGACCGACGUGUGAACCUCAGGUAG
rnacentral:rRNA from 1 species